CAAUAGCGUAUAUUAAAGUUGUUGCAGUUAAAAGCUCGUAGUUGGAUUUCUGGUAGGAGUGGACCUGGCCCUGCAUUUUUGCAGGUUGUCCGUGUGUCUACUCUGGCCAUCCUCGUGUUUUCAAAUUAAUUUGGGAGCACGUCGUUUACUGUGAAAAAUUAGAGUGUUUAAAGCAGAAGCUUGCUUCAGAAUACAUUAGCAUGGAAUAAUAAGAUAGGACUUUGGUGCUAUUUUGUUGGUUUGCACACCAAGGUAAUGAUUAAUAGGGGCAGUUGGGGGUAUUCGUAUUCAAUUGUCAGAGGUGAAAUUCUUGGAUUUAUGGAAGACGAACUACUGCGAAAGCAUUUACCAAGGAUGUUUUCAUUAAUCAAGAACGAAAGUUAGGGGAUCGAAGACGAUCAGAUACCAU
rnacentral:rRNA from 1 species